CUUUGGCUAGAGGUCUCCUCCCUGGCGGUGCAAGUCACCUUCAGCUAGUGUAGGGCGCGGGACAGCUGCGGCUUCAGGGCGAUCACCCAGCAUUCCAGGACCUCCAGCUUUUCCGGUGCCUGCAGACGAGCCCAGAGCCUUCUAGAGCAGCUGGGAGCCUGCUUCCCUGCUUAGCUUUGGCCUUGGAUUUCGAUGGCAGUUAUAAUCCUCGGGGAGCAAACUUAUUGGCCUCUAGGCAGGCGACUCCUUUAACUCGACCUAGGCCAAACUAGAGGCAGCGUGGAUGGGGUUGUGGCGUGGAAGAUGAAGGGAAGAGAUUUCUGUCAAACCAACCCGUUGAGUGGUUUGGGAAUUCGUGAAUAAAUGGUUGUGUUUCAUUGCCUGAAGACAGUGUAUGAGUUAUACAAGUUGAUGGAAGGUAAAAAUGUCUGCAUCUGGGGCCUGAAUGAAGCAAUGUGACCUUAAGUUUUGGUUUUGGACUUGGAAAAGUUGUGGAUCUCUGUAAUAUCCUCCAUGUGCUGCACAAAGAAGCUUUCUCUGAGAAGUGAGAGCUACACUCAUCUAUGAGUAUAAGGAAGCUCGGAGUCUCUUGCUACUUCCAGUACUGCAUGGCUCCCAGAACUCAAGGAAAUGAAAGACACAUCUUUAUCCCUGAUCUGUGUGCUCUCAUGAGGGAUUUCUGGAGUUGAAAAACUGAAGAUGUAUCUUCUUUUCUUU